UCCAGGAGCAGGUGAGCCACUGGCUAACGCACAUUGUGCUCUCGGCGACUCCACUGUGCGUGUGACAGCGGCUAACCUGCUCCUCGGACAUCGCUGU
rnacentral:pre_miRNA from 1 species